GACGAACGCUGGCGGCGUGCUUAACACAUGCAAGUCGAACGGAAAGGCCCUGCUUUUGUGGGGUGCUCGAGUGGCGAACGGGUGAGUAACACGUGAGUAACCUGCCCUUGACUUUGGGAUAACUUCAGGAAACUGGGGCUAAUACCGGAUAGGAGCUCCUGCUGCAUGGUGGGGGUUGGAACGUUUCGGCGGUUGGGGAUGGACUCGCGGCUUAUCAGCUUGUUGGUGGGGUAGUGGCUUACCAAGGCUUUGACGGGUAGCCGGCCUGAGAGGGUGACCGGCGACAUUGGGACUAAGAUACGGCCCAGACGCCAACGGGAGGCAGCAGGGGGGAAUAUGGCACAAUGGGCGGAAGCCGGAUGCAGCAACGCCGCGGGCGGGAUGACGGCCUUCGGGUUGUAAACCGCUUUCGCCUGUGACGAAGCGUGAGUGACGGUAAUGGGUAAAGAAGCACCGGCUAACUACGUG
rnacentral:rRNA from 1 species